AAAGACUUAGUCCUAACCUUACUGUUAGUUUUUGCUAGAUAUAUACAUGCAAGUAUCUGCACCCCAGUGUAAAUGCCCUAGACCUCUUACCAAGACAAAAGGAGCUGGCAUCAGGCACACUAGCUGUUGCCCAAGACGCCUUGCUCAGCCACACCCCCACGGGUAUUCAGCAGUAAUUAACAUUAAGCAAUGAGCGCAAGCUUGACUUAGCCAUAGCAACAUUAAAGGGUUGGUAAAUCUUGUGCCAGCCACCGCGGUCAUACAAGAAACCCAAAUUAACCGUCAUACGGCGUAAAGCGUGGCCUGCGUUUUAUCGUGAUGACUAGGGUAGAAAUGUAACUAAGCUGUCAUAAGCCCAAGAUACACAUAAGCCCGCCAUUAAGAUGACCCUAGCACCCAUAGACCUACUCCCGCCACGAAAGCCAGGGCACAAACUGGGAUUAGAUACCCCACUAUGCCUGGCCGUAAAUCUAGAUGCUUACCCGCACCAAAGCAUCCGCCAGAGAAUUACGAGCACAAACGCUUGAAACUCUAAGGACUUGGCGGUACCCCAAACCCACCUAGAGGAGCCUGUCCUAUAAUCGAUAACCCACGAUACACCCAACCACCCCUAGCCCAAACAGCCUACAUACCGCCGUCGCCAGCUCACCUUCACUGAGAGUCCCACAGUGAGCACAAUAGUCACCCACACUAGUAAGACAGGUCGAGGUAUAGCUGAUGGGAUGGAAGAGAUGGGCUACAUUUUCUAUGAUAGAAAACCACGAAAAGAGAUGUGAAACCAUCUCUAAAAGGCGGAUUUAGUAGUAAAGUGGGAUAAGAAUGCCCACUUUAAACUGGCUCUGGGGUACGUACAUACCGCCCGUCACCCUCCUCACAGGCUAUUAACCACAUAACUAAUGCCAAAGUCAGCUGAAGAUGAGGUAAGUCGUAACAAGGUAAGUGUACCGGAAGGUGUACUUAGCACAC
rnacentral:ncRNA from 1 species